CAUAGCAAAGAAGAGACAUAUAGACGUUGUACUGUUUCUGUUAUUUGCGUUGUUAUCGGCGUUGUUGGCUGCUGAAUACUUACCCACUUAUUUUUAUUUGCACUUGUGCUUCUACCUAUGUAUACAGUAUUUAUUGUAGCAUUUUGUUGCUUUUUGCCUUUUUUUUCUACAUUGUCGGGCCGCUACUGCUGUCAUUUCUACUUCCACAUCCACCGCCCUUAUGGGGUUCUUGCCUUACCAUAACAAUUGUUGUUGCCGCUAUACUUGUAAUGCUGAAGCUUGCCAAAAGGUACUGACAUCACAAUCGUCGUUCGCCCGUGUUGAAGCUCUUGUGCGAUUGACGAUGACUACUUUGGCGAAUAAAAAGAAAAGUAAAUAUAUAAAAGCGAAAAAGUGAGCCGGAACAUACACAAACUACAAUCAAAGUCAUUGCAGGAGUUUGCGUGUAUUGCUACAUAGCAAAUUUUUAUUUGUUCAUACCGGUUUUGUAAAAGAUAUACACAUGUAUGUACAUAUAGUAUGUAGUUACUUAUAUGGAUGUAAAAAACAGUGCGUUCAACGAUUCCUUCUUAGUAUUUUCUACUUCAUCAUGAAUCGGAUUUUUUAUUUCAUCAUUUGUUCGUUGAAAACAAAGUAUCGAAUUUAUAUUGUAAAAAAUUGCGAUUACGCAUACAUUGAAUCUAUACUAAAAUAUUGAUGUGUACUCCAAAUCUUUUUUAAACAGCACCAAGAAUUUCACAGAAACAUACACAAUAUGUAAAGUACAUCUAAGACGAAAUUAAUAAAUGAUAAAUCUGCAUACAUACGUGGCGGCCGUCGCUGAGUAGGGUAGAGGUGCAGACCGUAUUCAGUAGGUGUGGACCAACAUAAUAGGUUUUUCAAUUUUCGGUAGCCUAAUGUAAACGAAAAUAUUUUUAACAGAACAAUAUCAUUGAAUUCCUAACUUUAA